rnacentral:lncRNA from 1 species
CUCUUUCUCCCUGGAGGACCUACCAGGUCACCCCCUCAAGGAUGACUCCUCUGCCACUUUGGGAUCCCAGCCACCAGGCUAAUACAGGACCCCAGCUGCUGGGGGCCAGCUGUGGGUCAGGGAUAUCUUUGUCUAACAGGACCCUGUGCCAUCCUUCUUGGCCUAUGUAUGAUGACUGGGGCAGGAUGCCCACUACCUCAGGACAUCCAGAAGAGAAGCAGGUGGCAUCUAGGGGCACAGGGCUCCCAGUGAGAAACUCUGAAGAAGUCUUUCUCUUGGACCCUCUGCUAUCCCCUGGGCAGCGUGUUCCCCUAUACCUGCCCAAGCCCCCUCAGCAGGUGAGAAUGAGCCUCCCUACAUUCUCUCUCCCUUUCUCCAUUCAGAGCCAGUGGGACAAACUUCCCUUCCCGUCUUCUCAGGCAAUGGGCUCACUAAAGCUGUUGCUCCCGCCUCCUAUCAUGUCCUCCUCUGUGCAGCCCUCCUCCUCCCAAGGCUGCCCCUUCUCCUCCCAGGCCCGCCCCCCCUCCUCCCAGGCCCGCCCCCCAACCUGGCUCAGCGAGGCGGAGAUGAUCGCCCUUGCUGGUCUGCUGCAGAUGAGCCAGGGAGAGCAGACCCCCGACUCCCAGGCAAGCUCCCUGCCUUCUGCCAGCUGCCCAGACCCUGCCUAUGUCUCUGAAGACCCUGGCCCCAAUGGUGGCCAGAGCUGUUCUGGAAGCACUGACCCACGACCCACACAGAACCCCGAUAACCACCGUCCAUAGUGUCCCCUCCCCUCCCUCCACAGGGGCUGUCUUCUCUCCUAAGCCGUUUUGUUGACAAUAAAUCAGAGUGUGC